rnacentral:tRNA from 1 species
AUCGAAGUAGCUCAGUUGGCAGAGCGUUACACUUUGGAGCGAGGGUCCGUGGUUGGAUCCCGGGUUUCGGCA